AAAUUGAAGAGUUUGAUCAUGGCUCAGAUUGAACGCUGGCGGCAGGCCUAACACAUGCAAGUCGAACGGUAACAGGAAACAGCUUGCUGUUUCGCUGACGAGUGGCGGACGGGUGAGUAAUGUCUGGGAAACUGCCUGAUGGAGGGGGAUAACUACUGGAAACGGUAGCUAAUACCGCAUAACGUCGCAAGACCAAAGAGGGGGACCUUCGGGCCUCUUGCCAUCGGAUGUGCCCAGAUGGGAUUAGCUUGUAGGUGGGGUAACGGCUCACCUAGGCGACGAUCCCUAGCUGGUCUGAGAGGAUGACCAGCCACACUGGAACUGAGACACGGUCCAGACUCCUACGGGAGGCAGCAGUGGGGAAUAUUGCACAAUGGGCGCAAGCCUGAUGCAGCCAUGCCGCGUGUAUGAAGAAGGCCUUCGGGUUGUAAAGUACUUUCAGCGGGGAGGAAGGGAGUAAAGUUAAUACCUUUGCUCAUUGACGUUACCCGCAGAAGAAGCACCGGCUAACUCCGUGCCAGCAGCCGCGGUAAUACGGAGGGUGCAAGCGUUAAUCGGAAUUACUGGGCGUAAAGCGCACGCAGGCGGUUUGUUAAGUCAGAUGUGAAAUCCCCGGGCUCAACCUGGGAACUGCAUCUGAUACUGGCAAGCUUGAGUCUCGUAGAGGGGGGUAGAAUUCCAGGUGUAGCGGUGAAAUGCGUAGAGAUCUGGAGGAAUACCGGUGGCGAAGGCGGCCCCCUGGACGAAGACUGACGCUCAGGUGCGAAAGCGUGGGGAGCAAACAGGAUUAGAUACCCUGGUAGUCCACGCCGUAAACGAUGUCGACUUGGAGGUUGUGCCCUUGAGGCGUGGCUUCCGGAGCUAACGCGUUAAGUCGACCGCCUGGGGAGUACGGCCGCAAGGUUAAAACUCAAAUGAAUUGACGGGGGCCCGCACAAGCGGUGGAGCAUGUGGUUUAAUUCGAUGCAACGCGAAGAACCUUACCUGGUCUUGACAUCCACGGAAGUUUUCAGAGAUGAGAAUGUGCCUUCGGGAACCGUGAGACAGGUGCUGCAUGGCUGUCGUCAGCUCGUGUUGUGAAAUGUUGGGUUAAGUCCCGCAACGAGCGCAACCCUUAUCCUUUGUUGCCAGCGGUCCGGCCGGGAACUCAAAGGAGACUGCCAGUGAUAAACUGGAGGAAGGUGGGGAUGACGUCAAGUCAUCAUGGCCCUUACGACCAGGGCUACACACGUGCUACAAUGGCGCAUACAAAGAGAAGCGACCUCGCGAGAGCAAGCGGACCUCAUAAAGUGCGUCGUAGUCCGGAUUGGAGUCUGCAACUCGACUCCAUGAAGUCGGAAUCGCUAGUAAUCGUGGAUCAGAAUGCCACGGUGAAUACGUUCCCGGGCCUUGUACACACCGCCCGUCACACCAUGGGAGUGGGUUGCAAAAGAAGUAGGUAGCUUAACCUUCGGGAGGGCGCUUACCACUUUGUGAUUCAUGACUGGGGUGAAGUCGUAACAAGGUAACCGUAGGGGAACCUGCGGUUGGAUCACCUCCUUA
rnacentral:rRNA from 1 species